rnacentral:lncRNA from 1 species
UUGGAGAUGCUCUUACAAAACUUAUUUCAUACGUCACCAAGCAAUCAUGCACGCGCCAAUACACAUAUAUACGUACAAUCCCAGAGGAAAGCCAAACACCAGAUAUACUUAAAAGUCAAAGUCGAAGUCGGGUUCCUCUACGGAACCGCCAUCGUCUAGAUUAAUUGAGUUGAAGAGAUCAGCUACCGCUUCUCCAGUAUCUAUCGCGUCACUGAUAUGCCCGCUGACAGACAAUGUGCGCUGGAAUUUACUCCUGGACGGCUGAUCUCUCCCGCGACCAUCAUCCUCGUUCUUGUUGACAUCCAGUGGGUUUGCGCAGCACGGGUGGAGGCACAGCUUGCUGCUGUGGUAGUGGAAUCCCAGCACGGCGUUGCCACAGGCGUCGCACACCAGCCUGCCGCCGUCCUUGGGGCCCUGGAACCGGAGCACCAGCUCGACGUUCUUAAGCAGCGGGUGCACAAGCUUGGUUCCUUGGUCCAAGGCGCACUGCUUGUGGAGGUCAAAGUCGCAUGCAUGGCACCUGUACCUUUCCUCCGUGCCGGGCUCACACGAAGUUGGAGAGGCCAGGGGCGCACAGCGUCAGCAUGUGUUCCAAGUGGGCCGAGUGGGAGAUCAAGCCUGAGGAGGCCAUGAUCUUGGUCCCUUGGCCCCAGGCGCACUGCUUGUGGAGGUCAAAUUUGCAGGCCCGGCACCUGUACCUCUCGCCCAACCCGCUCUUAC